UUGUAAGUGCUGAUCAUAGAUAAUAGCUGACAAUUCAACAGUACCUGAUUUGUUGAAUUCUGUCGGGACCUAGACAUCUCAUACUACCUCAUGUUGGUGGGGCAUCCCCAAGCCAAAAGAAAGGCCGAAGUAACUAAUCAGGCUCUUUUGCAGGAUUUGAAAAUUAAGUUGGAUCAUGCCAAAGGAUCGUGGACUGAUGAGCUUCACAAUGU
rnacentral:lncRNA from 1 species